GACGGAGGAUGCAAGCGUUAUCCGGAAUGAUUGGGCGUAAAGCGUCCGCAGGUGGCAGUUCAAGUCUGCUGUCAAAGACCGGGGCUUAACUCCGGAAAGGCAGUGGAAACUGAACAGCUAGAGUAUGGUAGGGGCAGAGAGAAUUCCUGGUGUAGCGGUGAAAUGCGUAGAGAUCAGGAAGAACAUCGGUGGCGAAGGCGCUCUGCUGGACCAUAACUGACACUCAGGGACGAAAGCUAGGGGAGCGAAUGGG
rnacentral:rRNA from 1 species